UAGUAAGAAGUAGAAGGAAGUCUAAACCUAGGUCAUCUGAUUUCAGAGCCCAUAUAGUUAAAAUGCUCUAAAUGCAGCUUCCCAUGGUGAUGGUGACUAUGAGAGCCUGUCACAUGAUGUAGGACAGUGCUUCCCUGUAACAUGCAGAAGAUUCCCGUGAUGAUGGUGACUAUGAGAGCCCGUCACAUAUGAUGUAGGACAGUGCUUCCCUGUAACAUGUACAAGAUUCCCGUGAUGAUGGUGAGUAUGAGAGCCUGUCACAUAUGAUGUAGGACAGUGCUUCCUCUGUAACAUGCACAAGAUUCACCCGUGGAUCUUAUUAAAAUGGAAACUCAUAGACCACACUUUGACUAGCUAAGAUAGGAGCAUUUAAAUGGAUGUCUUGGUGACAGUGCUAAGAUGCUACUGUUCAUGUGGG
rnacentral:lncRNA from 1 species